UCAUUUUACAAAAACACCCUCAGCUAAUUUCCGACACAACCGGCACUCCUCGUCUUCUCCGGUCGACACUCCGCCGCUGUGUCGGGCGCAUGAACGCCGGAGAUCCCCUGCUUCGCGCUACUCCCCUGCUCUGCCGCGCGUCCUCCGCCGCCGCCGCAGCUGCCUCCUCCGCCGCUCCCUUCCCCUGCCUCCCUUGCCUGCCUCCCGAAUCUUCCCUCUUUCACCCAAAAAAUUGUUUCAUCUUCCACCCGCCGCGUCUCCUGCUCGCGGCCACCCCCUCCCUCCUAGCGUUGAUGGAAGAAGCAUGGCCGGCCCUCGGCCCGACGGGCUGCGACGCGGCCUUCCCACCCCCGCCCCAGCCCCCGUGGCGUGGGGCGCGACCGCGACGCGGCGAGAGACGGUGGCCAAGGAAUCGUCCGCGCAGGCGGUGAGCCGAAUCGUGUCCAGCUGCGCCAACUCGAGUGGCCUGGCCGUGGCCCUCGUCGACGCCAACGCCGUCAUCUCGCGCUCGCCUCCACUACGGGCCGGCUGAUCACGGUGCUCGAGGAGGUGUGCGACGCUGCAGCGUGCCGGAGGCUCGCGCUCCUGCCCACCCCCGUCGAGACCGUCGAGCCAGCCCCUGAGUUCGUCAAGAGAGUAGGGCCAGCUUGAACCGUGUGCACCAGGAAGAAGACCAGCCCAAAGUUGAUGAAGGGAGACAACCAACAGGAUGCCCUGCAAAUCAAUUUCGAGCAAGGGAGGCUGUGCGGCGCCGAGUGGAUGUACGGCGAGGUUUUCGUAAUGGCGUCAAGUCACCCUUGCCAUAUGGAACAUCUGAGGAGCAGCAGCAGCACAAGGAGCAACUCCUUACAGUACAAUUUUGGAGUACUCUUGGUGUAAAUCAACUUCACUAAUUUUCAGUUGACACAGGUUCAGAUCAAUCAGCCACAAUCAGUCCAUUGUUCAGGAAGUACCUGCAGCCAAUGCAGUCGCCGACAUCAGCAGCAGAUGCAGUCGCCAACAGCAGCAACAGGUCCGCGCGGACUCGAUCGGGCGGGCUGCAGCGGCAGCAGUAGGUGGCGGGCGACGGCAGCGGCAGGUGGCGGACGGAUGGCAGCGGCAGCAACAGGUCCCGCCACCUGGGAAGACCCGCGUGGCCCUGCCUGCGGAAGUCAGGGAGAGGGGAGCGGCGGCUGGGGUUGCCGCAGGCACGAGGAACCUGCGCCGGCGAGGAGGAGGCGCCCGUCGAGGUGGUCGCCUUGGAGGAGCAGCUGCAGUCGGGGUCGGGCUCCUUGGUGGAUGGAUCGGGCGACGGAGGAAGGAGGAAGAAGCUGAGGGGGGGCUGAUUUGCAACAGUUUACGACGUAGAAGAGGUUUUUUGCAAAAUUAGAGUUGAACUAAGUCGCGGACAACUUUUCCCGGACGGAGGGAGUAGUAGGAAACAAUACCGGAAGCAGAGUAGCAAACUCGGUUUACGCACUGCAAAGAAGAGCUGUCUUUGCACGACACGCACCAGGAGACUCCCUAGUCAGACUAAGCGCUGAUGAUUGGCAAUCAAGUACAGACAGUUGAGUCCAGCAUCUACAGGAUGCGGGAUGGAAGUUGGUUCAGAAUAUAAAUGGAUGAGGGAUGUUAAUUGGUU